GCAUAAAGGACCUGAUCCAAAGCCCAGCAAAGUCAAUUUGAGUCUUUCCAUUGAUUUCAGUGGGCUUUGGAUCAAGCCCUAGCUGC
rnacentral:pre_miRNA from 1 species